ensembl:processed_transcript
CGAGCCGGUGUUGCUGUGCGCCCGCGGUGGGCCCGGUUUGCCCGCUCCCCGCGUCUUCCUCCGGCUCGGUGCCCCGGGGCUCUUCUUCAGCCCCGCUGCGGUCCAACUCCGAUUCCGCGGGAGCUGCAGACGCGGUCGCCGCCAUCGACGCACAAAAACUCUCAACCGAACGCGCUGCUGUGAACCGAAAGCAGAUAAUCUAAUCCUCUCCCGCCAAAUCUGACUGUAAACACAACCUAGAGGAGGACGGCGGAAACCACGUCACUGCACGACGUCAUGCUAGCGGGUCAACUCAUUUCACUGAGUAAGGUACCAAAACACUAAAUAUCUGGGCAAAGCGGCACGCAAAGAAAGGAAAGAAUGAGGCAGCAGCACAACCCGUUCAGAAAGAGGCAGAAGCACGAAAGCCUCCGGUUCUCACACCCGAACAACGAGCAAAGCAGACAGCCUUCGAGAGGGUCCUCUAUGACAUGUCCCACAACGACCGGGUCAUCAAUGACAUCAUUCUGGGCCGCAGGAUAGGUUUCUACGAUCUCAGAGGAGAAAUAGGGACUGGAAAUUUCUCCCAGGUCAAACUUGCUGUUCAUGAGUUGACCAAAGAGCGUGUUGCAGUCAAAAUUCUUAACAAGGCACGUCUCGACAAGAAGUCGCAGAAUUUAUUUGCCUCAGAGAUCAUGUGUAUGGAAAAACUCUCCCAUCCAAACAUCGUUCGUCUGUAUGAAGUGCUUGAGACGGGUAAGCAUGUGUACCUCGCUAUGGAGUACGGCAGCGGAGGCGAUCUGUUCUCACGCAUCACCACCAGAGGACGCCUGUCAGACCUGGAGAGCAAACUCAUCUUUGCCCAGAUCGUCUCAGCCAUUAAAUACAUGGUAAGAACAUCAGGGCCUCGUCCUUCUCUGACUUGCCAAUGUUUCCGCUUUUCAUUAAUGCUGCCUGUAAAGACAAGUUAGGAAUUUGAACAAAGCCCUAAUCUGAAAUGUUAUAGGGAUAGUUCAACUAUAAAAAUUACAGUACUCUUGU